CCUUUCUAAUUGAUGCACAUUUUUUUGAGUGUGCUCCUUUUAGACCCGAGAGCUAAGGUGACGAAAAAGAUGUCUGCUGGAGACUGGUGUUUGAUUGAGAGCGACCCUGGUGUCUUUACAGAGCUCAUUAAAGGCUUUGGUGUCCAGGGCGUGCAAGUUGAAGAACUGUGGAGUCUCGAUGAUGAUUCAUUUGAGCAGCUGAAGCCAAUUCAUGGUCUAAUUUUCCUCUACAAAUGGAAGCCGGGUGAGGAACCUCAGGGCUCAAUAGUACAAGACUCUCGGCUGAGGGAUAUCUAUUUUGCCAAGCAGGUGAUCAACAAUGCUUGCGCCACCCAGGCCAUCAUCAGUGUGCUGCUCAAUAUCUCACAUACUGACAUGGACUUGGGCUCUGUGCUUGCUGACUUCAGGGACUUCUCAAGAGCUUUCGACGCAUCUACUCGAGGCCUAACUCUCUCAAACUCUGAGCAGAUUCGCAAAGUGCACAACAGUUUCUCAAGGCAAGAGAUGUUUGAGUUUGACAAGGAGCUACAAAAGAAGGACGAUGAUGUGUACCACUUCGUGGCCUAUGUCCCCAUCAAAGGUCGGCUGUACGAGUUGGACGGGUUGAAGGAGGGGCCGGUGGAUCUGGGCAAAUGUGAUGAGGGAGACUGGUUGAAGAGUGUGAAGCCUGUGCUCGACAAGAGGAUGCAGAGCUAUGCAGCCGAUGAGAUCCACUUCAACCUAAUGGCUGUCGUGUCUGACCGCAAGAGAGAGCUGAGCAGAAAAUGCGUGGGCCUGGACAAAAGAAGAGACCUGGCUGCUCUGAGGAUCCAGUCAAUCAUGGAGGGAGUGGAGGUGAUGGACGAGGGUCCCGGCGGGUUACCUAGCGACCUGGAGCAGCUGGCAGCUAUCAUUGAGGAUACUGAGAGCAAGAUAGCCCAGUGCAAGGUCCAACUAGCUCAGGAGAAUACCAAGAUGGAGAGAUAUCAGUGGCCCGUGGGCACUGGUUUGCUUCCUUCAGCUGGAGAACAUCCGUCGUAAGCAUAACUACCUCCCACUGAUAAUGGAGGUGCUCAAAAUUCUGGCUAAGAGAGGAGAGUUAGUGAAACUCUGUGAACAAGCUAAGACAAAGAAAGCUGAGCAGAGAGAAAACAAAGAAAAGACUGCUAAAGCAUAACUCUGUGCUUUUCAUUGCCUAUUAUUAUGUUUAUUGCAUGAAUCAUUGUCAAUAUUAUUAUUAUUGUACAUCAAAAGUA